GUCUCUUUGGCGACAUCUGAUAAAAUUGAGAUGAUACAGAAAAAAUUAGGAUGGCGGCUGCGCAAACGAAAAUAUUUUACUAUAAAUUUCUUUUUAUCUU